rnacentral:rRNA from 1 species
AUUGAACGCUGGCGGCAGGCCUAACACAUGCAAGUCGAACGAGUGGCGGACGGGUGAGUAAUGUAUGGGAAACCGCUCGAUGGAGGGGGAUAACGACUGGAAACGGUAGCUAAUACCGCAUACCAUCGGAGGUGGCCAGCUGGGAUUAGCUAGUAGGUGGGGUAACGGCUCACCUAGGCGACGAUCCCUAGCUGGGCUGAGGGGAUGACCAGCCACACUGGAACUGAGACACGGUCCAGGCUCCUACGGGAGGCAGCAGUGGGGAAUAGUGCGCAAUGGGCGCGAGCCUGAUGCAGCCAGGCCGCGUGUAUGAAGAAGACCUUCGGGUUGUAAAGUACUUUCAGCGGGGAGACGUUACUCGCAGAAGAAGCACCGGCUAACUCCGUGCCAGCAGCCGCGGUAAUUC